UCCGCCGUAGUGUAAUUGGCAGCACUUCAGAUUUUGGUUCUGACAGUCCAGGUUCGAGCCCUGGCGGCGGAGCAA
rnacentral:tRNA from 4 species